CUCCUAGUACGAGAGGACCGGAGUGGACGCAUCACUGGUGUUCGGGUUGUCAUGCCAAUGGCACUGCCCGGUAGCUAAAUGCGGAAGAGAUAAGUGCUGAAAGCAUCUAAGCACGAAACUUGCCCCGAGAUGAGUUCUCCCUGAGACUUUAAGUCUCCUGAAGGAACGUUGAAGACGACGACGUUGAUAGGCCGGGUGUGUAAGCGCAGCGAUGCGUUGAGCUAACCGGUACUAAUGAACCGUGAGGCUUAACCUUA
rnacentral:rRNA from 1 species